AGUCUCAGCCUCAGGUACUCCAGUGACAAGCAGCAGCACCAGUGCUGAUGAGGGUAGCAGGGAAAACUGGUGAAAUGUGCCGAGGUCUCUCCAGAGGUGGUAGGCGGUUGCGCCAGCUUCACAUCCUGGAUAGGCAGGAACGUUUCCCUAUCAUACUCCUGUCCCGGGUCUCAUGUGUCUCAGUUCAAACAGACACUGCCGUCUAUCUUCAAGCUGCAAUGAAGCUGAGAGCCACAGAAAACACCUGUACCAUGGUUUCAGGGAGGAGUCUCUUCCCUCAGCCGAAAACAGACAGCUUUGCUGGUCAUCUGUUCUCCACUGCGAGGACGCUGCCACUCAGUGUGGAGAGAGGAAGGGGUUCUGCCUAUGGUGCAAGAAGGUCGGACUCGGCAGUUAAUACUCUUGGAUAAUGUAUUUAAGGAUGCUUAAGAAAUUGCAACAGCCAGUUCAACCUUCAGCAACCACCAUACUGAUCAGUAGUCAUCAACAUUGAGACGAGACUGUACACCAGCAAAAAGAUCCCAACUCAAUGAAGGCUCAGAUGAUUUUAGCAUUUUUUUAGCAAUAAAGCAUUUUUAAAUUAAACUAUAUACAUUGUUGUUUUAGACAAGUUUUUGCACAUUCAGAAUACAGUAAAGUGUAAACAUGACUUUUAUAUACACUGGGGAAACCAAAAAAUUUGUGUGACUUACUUUAUUGCAAUAUUUGUUUUAUUGUGCUGAUCUGGAGCUAAAUAUAUCUGAGAUAUGCUUGUACUGAUGAUUAUUUUAACACCAAGAUAUUUUAAAAUUCAUUAAAUAAAUGUUUAUUUAAAUAGA
rnacentral:lncRNA from 1 species